CUUGUUACCUGCAACUCUAUGUGGCGAAAACUAUUAGUGGUUAAUGCAUUAAGUUUGUGUUUGACUAUUUUCUUUAAUUUUAUAUAUAUAUAUACACACACAUGCAUAAUGUUCUGGUUGCCAGCUGACUGCUGCUGUACAUUGAACAAAGUUUGUUUAUGACUACAGGUCCCAUUCCUCGUUGAUAACAGUUAAUUCAGGCUCCAAACAGGAGACAGCUGCUUAAGUGUUCCCUGACUGGUGUUGCUGAGCACGAAGCACCGAAUAUCAGGCUGCCCGAGCAAAUGUUUUGACAUUCCGUGCUGAACAGAAGCCAAGCUACACUUUCAAAUCAGGGUGCUCAUGUGUGCCUGGAGGAGGACUACCUGGGCUCUCAGAGGCUUUACCUGGCUCCAGAAACUCAGCUGCGAAGUCACAACACCGCAAAGAAGUCUCCGUUGAAGUGCCUUGCCCAUGCAGUACCGGAGUGCUGAACUGGCCCUUGCAGUGGUGGCCCCUCCAGGACUCCACAUUCCUCUCAGAUGUCUAUCAAGGCAUGGCAGUUCUAAUGCCUCGUGGAGGCUGCUGGGGAAACUUCCCGACUCAGUGCACCUCCUGGUAUCAUGACGUCUUUCAAAGCCCUUGUGUUCCCUUUUCCAUCCAGUACGAUCUGAUUUUCUGCUCCUGGACGGAUGCAGCCCACAAC
rnacentral:lncRNA from 1 species